rnacentral:rRNA from 1 species
AGAGUUUGAUCAUGGCUCAGAUUGAACGCUGGCGGCAGGCCUAACACAUGCAAGUCGAGCGGUAGCACAGAGAGCUUGCUCUCGGGUGACGAGCGGCGGACGGGUGAGUAAUGUCUGGGAAACUGCCUGAUGGAGGGGGAUAACUACUGGAAACGGUAGCUAAUACCGCAUAACGUCGCAAGACCAAAGUGGGGGACCUUCGGGCCUCAUGCCAUCAGAUGUGCCCAGAUGGGAUUAGCUAGUAGGUGGGGUAACGGCUCACCUAGGCGACGAUCCCUAGCUGGUCUGAGAGGAUGACCAGCCACACUGGAACUGAGACACGGUCCAGACUCCUACGGGAGGCAGCAGUGGGGAAUAUUGCACAAUGGGCGCAAGCCUGAUGCAGCCAUGCCGCGUGUGUGAAGAAGGCCUUCGGGUUGUAAAGCA